GGAAGCCGCCACUGUAUAGAAUGAUCAAGUUAACACACCGUGGAAUGGAGGAAGCCGCCACUGUAUAGAAUGAUCAAGUUAACACACCGUGGAAUGGAGGAAGCCGCCACUGUAUAGAAUGAUCAGGUUAACACACCGUGGAAUGGAGCACAGUUCUAUCACGUUGUUGUUUUCAUUUACAUACAUGUAGUGGUUUGGUUUGAUUGAUUGUACAUUAUUUAACGUCCCUCUCAAGAAGUUUUCACUCAUAUGGAAACUUCAUCAUUGACGGUGAAGGGCUGCAAAAUUUUAGGUCUAGGUGCUUGGCGCUUACGACCUUUUGAACAUCUUUAUCGUGCUACACCUGCUGUGACACAGGGCCUCGGUUUUUACGGUCUCAUCCGAAGGACCGUCCCAUUUAGUCGCUUCUUACGACAAGCAAGGGGUACUAAGGACCUAUUAUAACCCGGAUCCCACCGGGUUUGGUCUGCAUUUUAUUGAUAAGUAAGUAAAUUUUAUUCAAUGUCUGUGUACAAUACAAACAACAGGAGCUCUACAGAGCUCACUAACCGACUACCGGGCACCACAGACAAACUUAAAUACUAAUUAUCACAAAGGUAAACAUGCAGAACACAUUUACCUGCGUACCACAUGUAUAUAAAUAAACAUUUUCAAAAGUUAAAAAUUAAAUACAAAUCAACAGAAGCAUUUUAAACCACAGCAGUAAGAUUGUUAGGAAGCACUACAGCGGUGAUUACCCCCAAAAAAUUAGGGGGGGGGGGGGGAGAGAUAAUAAUGAAAUAAAAAAUCCACACAAAAUAAAUAGCAGUUUACUUGAAAGUUUAUUUAAUAUUAUAAUUACAUACAUCGAUACAACCUGAGGGAUCAGACACGAGUUAAGUAUUUAGGUUUAGAUUCCAUUCAGAAUAGCUAAAUUCUUACCAGAACCCUGAUGCUGAUUUUAUCAGCGAUGAUUGAAAGCACCUUUCACACAUGGAAUGGGUUAAUGAAAACUAGGAGUGAAUGAAUCGACAUUACAUGCACGUUGAAGUAAAUAAAAUAAUAAGAUAUCACACUGUGUUCAAGUUCAUUUGAGUUGUGACCCCUGGGGUCAGAUAGAGAGUGAGGCCUACUGUAGAAGUCUUCCUUUCUGGUGGCUACAAAUUUUGUCGAUGUUGAAUAAAUUCACCAGAGUUACUCCUCUUAGAAUAUAAGCAUACUUAUUCGCCGUGGAUCGCUGUCAAGCUGAUGUUGUCUUACAUGGACUAUAAGUAUCCAGUAGUCACGUGGUGCUCGCUUCGCCAUCCGGAGGUCCCUGGUUCGAAUCUCGAUCUGCGUCAAACUAAGACUUUAUGUACACGGCUACCCAUGUCCUAAAUCAUAAUGUAUCGGUUAUGCAAGAAAAUUCGUUUGAAGUGUUUCCGGUUAUGAGUUAAAAGAGAACAACACGCCGCUUCGACAGGAACAUAUUCACAAAAACUAAAUAAAGAUGUUGCUUAUCUCUGGAUCAAGGCUAGACGCAGAUAGUAUGUCAACUGUAUGUAUAGUAGGUGCAGAGAAUUGAAGAAGAUAGAGUGUAUUAUUCUAAGGGACCAUUUAGACAGAGUUUGCCUCCAAAAAAUGUAUUUACCGAAUGCACCAAAUCGACAUGCCAGAGAACAACCUAUCAGGCAACAUGAUGGUUACAGAAUAAACGACUCUAAGCUGUUGCAGCCGCAGAGACUUGGACUAAACUUUGAUUACAUGUCAGAAUCUAAUGUGUAAUAAAAAUACUAGAUAAUUUUG